UCCCAGACUCCUACGGGAGGCAGCAGUGGGGGAUAUUGCACAAUGGGGGAAACCCUGAUGCAGCGACGCCGCGUGAGUGAAGAAGUAUUUCGGUAUGUAAAGCUCUAUCAGCAGGGAAGAAAAUGACAGUACCUGACCAAGAAGCCCCGGCUAACUACGUGCCAGCAGCCGCGGUAAUACGUAGGGGGCAAGCGUUAUCCGGAUUUACUGGGUGUAAAGGGGGCGCAGACGGCGAUGCAAGCCAGGAGUGAAAGCCCGGGGCCCAACCCCGGGACUGCUCUUGGAACUGCGUGGCUGGAGUGCAGGAGGGGCAGGCGGAAUUCCUGGUGUAGCGGUGAAAUGCGUAGAUAUCAGGAGGAACACCGGCGGCGAAGGCGGCCUGCUGGACCGUAACUGACGUUGAGGCUCGAAAGCGUGGGGAGCAAACAGGAUUAGAUACCCUAGUA
rnacentral:rRNA from 1 species